rnacentral:rRNA from 1 species
AUUGAACGCUGGCGGCAGGCUGAACACAUGCAAGUCGAGCGAGCGGCGGACGGGGGAGUAAUGUCUGGGAAACUGCCUGAUGGAGGGGGAUAACUACUGGAAACGGUAGCUAAUACCGCAUACCAUCAGAUGUGCCCAGAUGGGAUUAGCUAGUAGGUGGGGUAAUGGCUCACCUAGGCGACGAUCCCUAGCUGGGCAUAGAGGAGGACCCGCAACCCUGGAACUGAUCCACGGGCCUGCCUCCUCCGGUAUGCAUCAGUGUGGAAUAUUGCACAAGUGGCGCAAGCCUGAUGCAGCCAUGCCGCGUGUGUGAAGAAGGCCUUCGGGUUGUAAAGCACUUUCAGCGAGGAGGCGUUACUCGCAGAAGAAGCACCGGCUAACUCCGGGCCAGCAGCCGCUGUAAUAC